rnacentral:misc_RNA from 1 species
AACGCACGAGACCUGCGGACCUGCGGAAGGAUCAUUAACGAGAAACUGCCCCUCGCGGGUAGAUCUCCCACCCUUUGUAAACUUACCUUUGUUGCUUUGGCAGGCCCGUCUCCGGACCGCCGGCUUCGGCUGGCCAGUGCCUGCCAGAGGAUUCUAAAACUCUGUCUGUCAGUGUUGUCUGAGUCUAUAUACAAUCGUUAAAACUUUUAACAAUGGAUCUCUAGAUCGGAAGAGCACACG